rnacentral:rRNA from 2 species
UACGGAGGGUGCAAGCAUUGAUCGGAAUUACUGGGCGUAAAGGGCGCGUAGGCGGUCCGAAAAGUCAGAUGUGAAAUUCCGGGGCUCAACCCCGGAGCUGCAUUUGAAACUUUCGAACUAGAGGAUAGUAAGGGAAAACGGAAUUCCACGUGUAGCGGUGAAAUGCGUAGAUAUGUGGAAGAACACCGGUGGUGAAGACGGUUUUCUGUGCUAUUCCUGACGCUGAGGCGCGAAAGCUAGGGGAGCAAACAGG